rnacentral:rRNA from 1 species
UAAUACGUAGGUGACAAGCGUUGUCCGGAUUUACUGGGCGUAAAGAGCGCGCAGGCGGUCGAUCAAGUCGAGUGUGAAAGCCCCCGGCUCAACUGGGGAGGGUCAUUCGAUACUGAUCGACUCGAAGGCAGGAGAGGGUAGUGGAAUUCCCGGUGUAGUGGUGAAAUGCGUAGAUAUCGGGAGGAACACCAGUGGCGAAGGCGACUACCUGGCCUGUUCUUGACGCUGAGGCGCGAAAGCUAGGGGAGCAAACGGGAUUAGAUACCCCGGUAGUCCUAGCCCUAAACGAUGAAUGCUUGGUGUGGCGGGUAUCGAUCCCUGCCGUGCCGAAGCUAACGCAUUAAGCAUUCCGCCUGGGGAGUACGGUCGCAAGGCUG